AACGAACGCUGGCGGCAGGCCUAACACAUGCAAGUCGAGCGAGGACUUCGGUCCUAGCGGCGGACGAGUGAGUAACGCGUGGGAACGUGCCCUUUGCUUCGGAAUAGCCCUGGGAAACUGGGAGUAAUACCGGAUGAGCCCUUUGGGGGAAAGAUUUAUCGGCGAAGGAUCGGCCCGCGUUGGAUUAGGUAGUUGGUGGGGUAAUGGCCUACCAAGCCGACGAUCCAUAGCUGGUUUGAGAGGAUGAUCAGCCACACUGGGACUGAGACACGGCCCAGACUCCUACGGGAGGCAGCAGUGGGGAAUCUUAGACAAUGGGGGAAACCCUGAUCGAGCCAUGCCGCGUGAGCGAUGAAGGCCUUAGGGUUGUAAAGCUCUUUCAGCUGGGAAGAUAAUGACGGUACCAGCAGAAGAAGCCCCGGCUAACUCCGUG
rnacentral:rRNA from 1 species